UUUUAUCAUUAAUUUUGUGAGAUUUCUAAUAGUUUUUGACAGUUGACUGUUGUCUUUUAUCCACAGGCACUGAGUUUGUUUAUUUAUGAAUUGAAAAUCACUACACACAUUCUUUUUGUAUUUUAUGGAAAAAAAGCUGGCAUCAUGGAGAACAUUAAAUGGAACUGUGAUGGAAAUGUUAUUUAAGUUUGUUAAACUGAAAUAAAAAUAAAUGAGUGGGAAUGGAAA
rnacentral:lncRNA from 1 species